GUACAAAGUUGUACCUAUUUGUAUGCAUGAAUUUUCUCAUGUUGUUUUCGAAAACUAUACACCAUUCUGUAAAUGACUUUGGGCUAAAGUGUUGUAGAAUAUAUAGUAAAAGUUGUCACAGGUAUGUUUUAAAAAUGUGAAUACUUUUACCCAUAAUAUGAACUCAUCGAGGGAAGCUCUCAAGGAAUUUUUUAUACCUGUAAUUUAGAUAAAUUGAUAUAAUAUAAAAUAUGUCAAAAAUGUUGAAAUUAACAAUUUUUUGUAAGUAAAUUCUCCAUAUUGACCAGUGUGAUUGGAUUAACUUAUGAUUCCCUUCCCUUCCCUCCGCUCCUCUCGCCCACCAAUCCUCAAAGCCAUGGUCAGCUGUGUAGGCGUCAACGCCUGCUAAACCACCAAGCCCUUCCUUCAUUUCCCCCAUGACCAGUUUGUUCUAACGGUUUAUUGUCUCUUCUUUGCUUGUGACCAUGUGGAAUGCUGCUGCGCCACCAAGCUUGCCAUCUUCUUCAUCCUCGCCAUGUGCAGCUCCGGGCCUGACUGUUUUCUGAACAGUAUUGUGUUCUAGCAUCUUCCUUGAAGACACGUCAUGGUGGGCAGAAAAGGUUCAGCAGUUUUUUUAUCGAUUUUGUUCUGAAUAUUUCUAUAACAGGUUUUUCUUUCCUGAAUGUCUCCUAUGCAACUUUGUUCUCAAUACAAGUUUGCAUGGGAAGCUGCGUCGCUAAUGCAGGGCGUUUAUAUUGUUAUCUUUCUUUAAAUAAGUGUCCUUGCGUUGGAGAGGUGUUGGCCUUCAUCUCUGGCCAGCCUGGCUUGUUUUUUGGAUAUGCAUGAUCAAUUAUCCCUGCACUUACACGAGUAUGCAUGAGUUUUAUUUUCACAUAAAGGAGUAUGCAUGCAUGAGCUGAAAAGCUCCUCCAGGCAAUAGCACAAAAGAAUCAUUUCCUGCUGGUGCUAGCACAAAUUAAACAGUAAAGAAAAGUCACAAAGCACCUAAAGAGUAGUACCUUGGCCGAUGCCAGCUCCUUCAUAUAUUCUACCGAUAUGGACGCUGGAAGUAUAUAUAUAUAUAUAUAUGUAUGUAUGUAUCUUCAGCUACCUGCGCCAAUCUCCUGCUAUCAAUAGCAUAUAUAUAAGAUAAGAGUUAGAUGAGUA
rnacentral:lncRNA from 1 species